ACAAAGUGGUAAGGUUAAAACAUGUUGUCAUUUUUAAACAUAUGUUUGACUGUAACAGCAUUAGUUUCUUAAUAAGAAUGUUUGUUAUUGUGUGACAGGUUCAGCAAUUUACAGUUUAGUGAAG